UACACAAACUACAAAGGAGUAGGUUCAGUAAGACCCCUUUUUGGCCCCAAAAUAUAGCAGUUUUACAAAAUUGUUAAAAUGUAAACCUUUAGUUAUUUAUUGGACAGUAGAAUGCUUCUGCUACAUAAAUAUGGGCUGUUUUUGACAAUACAAUGCACAUAUAUCCGGUACUAGCACCAUUUAGUCAUGCUAAAUUACUGAAAUCCUCAUAAUUCUAGCAGUUUAGUUAAAUUUUAGACGGUUUUCGUGUAAAACGAAAGUGGCCGCAUUCGUGUUCAUCCUUAAUAUUGAAAUGUAAG
rnacentral:lncRNA from 1 species